GACGAACGCUGGCGGCGUGCUUAACACAUGCAAGUCGAACGGUAAAGCCCUACCUUGCUGGGGUGGACCAGUGGCGAACGGGUGAGUAACACGUGAGUAACCUGCCCCUGACUUUGGGAUAACCUCUGGAAACUGCGGCUAAUACUGGAUACGAGCAGGUUCUGCAUGGGCAGGGUCUGAAAGUUUCUGCGGUUGGGGAUGGGCUCGCGGCCUAUCAGCUUGUUGGUGAGGUAAUGGCUCACCAAGGCGAUGACGGGUAGCCGGCCUGAGAGGGUGACCGGCCACAUUGGGACUGAGACACGGCCCAGACUCCUACGGGAGGCAGCAGUGGGGAAUAUUGCACAAUGGGCGGAAGCCUGAUGCAGCGACGCCGCGUGAGGGAUGACGGCCUUCGGGUUGUAAACCGCUUUCAGCUGUGAAGAAGCGAAAGUGACGGUACCUGCAGAAGAAGCACCGGCUAACUACGUG
rnacentral:rRNA from 1 species